rnacentral:rRNA from 1 species
ACAAGUUCAACGGCCGCGGUAUUUUGACCGUGCAAAGGUAGCGCAAUCACUUGUCUUUUAAAUAGAGACCUGUAUGAAUGGCUAAACGAGGGCUUAACUGUCUCCCUUUUCAGGUCAGUGAAAUUGAUCUACCCGUGCAGAAGCGGGUGUAAUAAUACAAGACGAGAAGACCCUUUGGAGCUUAAGGUACAAAACUCAACCACGUCAAGCAACUUAACAAAAAGUAAAAACUUUGUGAAACAUGAGAUUUUACCUUCGGUUGGGGCGACCGCGGAGGAAAAAAAAGCCUCCAAGUGGACCGGGACAAACUCCUAAAACCAAGAGAAACAUCUCUAAGCCACAGAACAUCUGACCAAACAUGAUCCGGCCACCAGGACCGAUCAACGAACCAAGUUACCCUAGGGAUAACAGCGCAAUCCCCUCCCAGAGUCCAUAUCGACGAGGGGGUUUACGACCUCGAUGUUGGAUCAGGACAUCCUAAUGGUGCAGCCGCUAUUAAGGGUUCGUUUGUUCAACGAUUAAAGUCCUACGUGAUC